rnacentral:lncRNA from 1 species
GGCCCUGAGCGGCAGGCCUGGGUCUCUUACUGGGUUGGACAGGCAUGGCAGGCGCUGGCCUGCGGAGCGGGGCUGAAGGUCGGGAACUUCCCGUUAGCUGAGGGCGGGUGUCGAAGCUCCUUUCUAUGAUCUGCGCCUUUGCCAGGACUGCCGAAUAUGUCUCGAGCUCCAUCACCAACAAGUGCUGUCUGAUCUCCGGGCGGAGACCCCACU